GCCCCAAUCUCCACUCACAUGGCUGGUUGCUCUCUCACCCAAGUCCCUUGCAUGAAAUUUCCAUGCACGUAAAAAUGGGUCACCGUCCCAUGUGCAGCUCCCUUUAGUGCGUUACACUUGCACUUCACACAAUCAGCUCCUGGUCCCUCUCAACACGUCAGUUUGCCUUACCAGGCUCACUCCUCCACGUGAUGACCAAUCUGGUCUGAUGGUGCGUCCCAACUCCUGAAAAUCCCAAGGACAAAUGGCAAGACCCACGUGAUCAGUCCCCAUGCAGCCCCAUGCAAUUCACGUCCCAUUUUCAAGCAGAUUCGGUACACAUAAAUGGGACUCAAAAUAGGCAGCCAGCAAGCAAUAAAUAAGCAGAAAAAUUUGGAUCUUCGGGGA
rnacentral:misc_RNA from 1 species